rnacentral:rRNA from 1 species
UACGUAGGGUGCAAGCGUUAAUCGGAAUUACUGGGCGUAAAGGGUGCGCAGGCGGUUACAUAAGUCAGAUGUGAAAUCCCCGGGCUUAACCUGGGAAUGGCAUUUGAGACUGUGUGGCUAGAGUGUGUCAGAGGGGGGUAGAAUUCCACGUGUAGCAGUGAAAUGCGUAGAGAUGUGGAGGAACACCGAUGGCGAAGGCAGCCCCCUGGGAUAACACUGACGCUCAGGCACGAAAGCGUGGGGAGCAAACAGG